rnacentral:rRNA from 1 species
AUUGAACGCUGGCGGCAGGCUUAACACAUGCAAGUCGAACGGACUACUUCGGUAGUUAGUGGCGAACGGGUGAGUAAUGCCUAGGAAUCUGCCAUUUAGUGGGGGAUAACGUUCCGAAAGGAACGCUAAUACCGCAUACGUCCUACGGGAGAAAGAGGGGGAUCUUCGGACCUCUUGCUAAAUGAUGAGCCUAGGUCAGAUUAGCUAGUUGGUGGGGUAAAGGCUCACCAAGGCGACGAUCUGUAGCGGGUCUGAGAGGAUGAUCCGCCACACUGGAACGGAGACAAGGUCCAGACUCCUACGGGAGGCAGCAGUGGGGAAUAUUGGACAAUGGGCGCAAGCCUGAUCCAGCCAUGCCGCGUGUGUGAAGAAGGCCUUUUGGUUGUAAAGCACUUUAAGCGAGGAGGAGGGUAACCUAGCUAAUAUCUAGGAUUACCGGACGUUACUCGCAGAAUAAGCACCGGCUAACUCUGUGCCAGCAGCCGCGGUAAGAC